rnacentral:rRNA from 1 species
UACGGAGGGUGCGAGCGUUAUCCGGAAUUACUGGGUUUAAAGGGUGCGUAGGCGGCUAUGUAAGUCAGGAGUGAAAGUUUGCGGCUCAACCGUAAAAUUGCUUUUGAUACUGCAUGGCUGGAAUCAGGAUGAGGUCAGCGGAAUGUGGCAUGUAGCGGUGAAAUGCAUAGAGAUGCCAUAGAACACCAAUUGCGAAGGCAGCUGGCUAGACCUGUAUUGACGCUGAGGCACGAAAGCGUGGGGAGCGAACAGG